UACGUAGGGGGCAAGCGUUGUCCGGAUUCAUUGGGCGUAAAGAGCUCGUAGGCGGUUCAGUAAGUCGGGUGUGAAAGCUCCGAGCUCAACUCGGAGAGGCCACCCGAUACUGCUGUGACUUGAGUCCAGUAGAGGAGCGUGGAAUUCCUGGUGUAGCGGUGAAAUGCUUAGAUAUGACAUAGAACACCAAUUGCGAAGGCAGCUCGUUACACGAAGAUUGACUCUGAGGCACGAAAGCGUGGGGAUCAAACAGG
rnacentral:rRNA from 1 species